AGCGAACGCUGGCGGCAGGCUUAACACAUGCAAGUCGAGCGGGCGUAGCAAUACGUCAGCGGCAGACGGGUGAGUAGCGCGUGGGAACAUACCUUUUGGUUCGGAACAACACAGGGAAACUUGUGCUAAUACCGGAUAAGCCCUUACGGGGAAAGAUUUAUCGCCGAAAGAUUGGCCCGCGUCUGAUUAGCUAGUUGGUGAGGUAACGGCUCACCAAGGCGACGAUCAGUAGCUGGUCUGAGAGGAUGAUCAGCCACAUUGGGACUGAGACACGGCCCAAACUCCUACGGGAGGCAGCAGUGGGGAAUAUUGGACAAUGGGCGCAAGCCUGAUCCAGCCAUGCCGCGUGAGUGAUGAAGGCCCUAGGGUUGUAAAGCUCUUUUGUGCGGGAAGAUAAUGACGGUACCGCAAGAAUAAGCCCCGGCUAACUUCGUGCC
rnacentral:rRNA from 1 species